UCACUUCAGCAGUGCAUAUACUUAAAUUGGAAUGAUACAUUGAAGAUUAGCAUGGCCCCUGCACAAGGAUGAUAGGCAAAUUUGUGAAGCAUUCUAUAUUUUU